rnacentral:lncRNA from 1 species
UUUUUUUUUGUUAUUGUUGUUGUUGUUGUUGUUUUUCUUUUUUUUUUUCUUUUUUCUUUUUUUUUGAGAGAGAGGUAACACGCUACCCGUUUCGUUUAUUUCAUUUAGAAAUAAACUUAGCUGGAAAUGUGAAUCAACUAGGAUUCGAACUUAGGUCUCGGAUACCAACCACCAAGUCCUUUGCCACUUGCUCUAAGGACGGUCGGUAUGUAGUCCACAUUUCAACCGCUAUAUUUGGAGCCUUACUUACCUGGUGA